UACGAAGGGGGCUAGCGUUGUUCGGAAUUACUGGGCGUAAAGGGCGCGUAGGCGGUGUGUCAAGUCAGGCGUGAAAGCCCCGGGCUCAACCUGGGAACCGCGCUUGAGACUGGCACGCUCGAGUCCGGGAGAGGGUGGUGGAAUUCCCAGUGUAGAGGUGAAAUUCGUAGAUAUUGGGAAGAACACCGGUGGCGAAAGCGCUCUGCUGGGCCGCAACUGACACUCAGGGACGAAAGCUAGGGGAGCGAAUGGG
rnacentral:rRNA from 1 species